CUGCCUGGUAGUGGGGGAUAACGUUCGGAAACGGACGCUAAUACCGCAUACGUCCUACGGGAGAAAGCAGGGGACCUUCGGGCCUUGCGCUAUCAGAUGAGCCUAGGUCGGAUUAGCUAGUUGGUGGGGUAAUGGCUCACCAAGGCGACGAUCCGUAACUGGUCUGAGAGGGUGAUCAGUCACACUGGAACUGAGACACGGUCCAGACUCCUACGGGAGGCAGCAGUGGGGAAUAUUGGACAAUGGGCGAAAGCCUGAUCCAGCCAUGCCGCGUGUGUGAAGAAGGUCUUCGGAUUGUAAAGCACUUUAAGUUGGGAGGAAGGGUUGUAGAUUAAUACUCUGCAAUUUUGACGUUACCGACAGAAUAAGCACCGGCUAACUCUGUGCCAGCAGCCGCGGUAAUACAGAGGGUGCAAGCGUUAAUCGGAAUUACUGGGCGUAAAGCGCGCGUAGGUGGUUUGUUAAGUUGGAUGUGAAAUCCCCGGGCUCAACCUGGGAACUGCAUUCAAAACUGACUGACUAGAGUAUGGUAGAGGGUGGUGGAAUUUCCUGUGUAGCGGUGAAAUGCGUAGAUAUAGGA
rnacentral:rRNA from 1 species